AACGAACGCUGGCGGCAUGCCUAACACAUGCAAGUCGAACGAGACCUUCGGGUCUAGUGGCGCACGGGUGCGUAACGCGUGGGAACCUGCCCUUAGGUUCGGAAUAACUCCCCGAAAGGGGUGCUAAUACCGGAUAAUGUCUUCGGACCAAAGAUUUAUCGCCUUUGGAUGGGCCCGCGUUGGAUUAGCUAGUUGGUAGGGUAAAAGCCUACCAAGGCGACGAUCCAUAGCUGGUCUGAGAGGAUGAUCAGCCACACUGGGACUGAGACACGGCCCAGACUCCUACGGGAGGCAGCAGUGGGGAAUAUUGGACAAUGGGCGAAAGCCUGAUCCAGCAAUGCCGCGUGAGUGAUGAAGGCCUUAGGGUUGUAAAGCUCUUUUACCCGGGAUGACAAUGACAGUACCGGGAGAAUAAGCUCCGGCUAACUCCAUG
rnacentral:rRNA from 1 species